CGUGUAGGCGGCUUAGCAAGUCGGGUGUGAAAGCCCUCGGCUCAACCGAGGAAGUGCGCCCGAAACUGCUGAGCUUGAGUACCGGAGAGGAUGGCGGAAUUCCCCAAGUAGAGGUGAAAUUCGUAGAUAUGGGGAGGAACACCGGUGGCGAAGGCGGCCAUCUGGACGGAUACUGACGCUGAGACGCGAAAGCGUGGGGAGCAAACAGGAUUAGAUACCCUGGUAGUCCACGCCGUAAACGAUGAUUACUAGGUGUAGGGGACGCAGGUCUUCUGUGCCGGAGCAAACGCAAUAAGUAAUCCGCCUGGGGAGUACGGCCACAAGGUUGAA
rnacentral:rRNA from 1 species